AUAAACGGGCAAACUUUUCGAAAGAUUAGGACGCAAAGCUACGGGUCUAAUAUACAUGUUAUUGUAUGACGACGGCUGAGUUGC
rnacentral:ncRNA from 1 species